AGGGGCCCUGGAGAGCAGUUAGUUUAUGUGCACUGGGAUGUCCUGGGAAUCCUCCAUAGAGAUCUCUAUGAAACUUUCCUGGAGGUACUCU